UACAGAGGUCCCAAGCGUUGUUCGGAGUCACUGGGCGUAAAGGGUGCGUAGGUGGUUAGGUAAGUCCGAUGUGAAAUCUCCAGGCUCAACCUGGAAAUGGCAUUGGAUACUAUCUAGCUUGAGGAGUGGAGGGGGGACUGGAAUUCUCGGUGUAGCAGUGAAAUGCGUAGAUAUCGAGAGGAACACCAGUGGCGAAGGCGAGUCCCUGGACACUUCCUGACACUGAGGCACGAAAGCUAGGGGAGCAAACAGG
rnacentral:rRNA from 1 species